AGCGAACGCUGGCGGCAGGCCUAACACAUGCAAGUCGAACGAACCUUUCGGGGUUAGUGGCGGACGGGGGAGUAACACGUGGGAACGUGCCUUUAGGUUCGGAAUACCUCAGGGAAACUUGUGCUAAUACCGAAUGUGCCCUUCGGGGGAAAGAUUAAUCGCCUUUAGAGCGGCCCGCGUCUGUUUAGCUAGUUGGUUGAGGUAAUGGCGCACCAGGGCGACGUAAAGUAGCUGGUCAGAGAGGAUGAUCAGCGACAUUGGGACUGAGACACGGCCCAGACUCCUACGGGAGGCAGCAGUGGGGAAUCUUGCGCAAUGGGCGAAAGCAUGACGCAGCCAUGCCGGGUGAAUGAUGAAGGUCUUAGGAUUGUAAAAUUCUUUCAUCGGGGACGAUAAUGACGGUACCCGGAGAAGAAGCCCCGGCUAACUUCGUG
rnacentral:rRNA from 1 species